UACAGAGGGUGCAAGCGUUGUUCGGAAUUAUUGGGCGUAAAGGGCGCGUAGGCGGUGCGGUAAGUCUGCAGUGAAAUCUCUGGGCUCAACUCAGAGGCUGCUUCCGAAACUGCCAUGCUUGAGUGCGGGAGAGGCGAGUGGAAUUACAGGUGUAGCGGUGAAAUGCGUAGAUAUCUGUAGGAACACCCGUGGCGAAGGCGGCUCGCUGGACCGCAACUGACGCUGAGGAACGAAAGCUAGGGGAGCAAACAGG
rnacentral:rRNA from 1 species